rnacentral:lncRNA from 1 species
AGCCGGAUGGGACACUGAAUUUGGACAGUGAUGAGGGUGAAGAGCCUUCCCCGGAAGCAUUGGUGCGCUAUUUGUCAAUGAGGAGGCACACAGUGGGUGUGGCUGACCCACGCACGGAAGUUAUGGAAGAUCUGCAGAAGCUCCUACCUGGCUUUCCUGGAGUCAACCCCCAGGCUCCAUUCCUGCAGGUGGCCCCUAAUGUGAACUUCAUGCACAACCUGUUGCCUAUGCAAAAUUUGCAACCAACCGGGCAACUUGAG